CCUACGGGAGGCAGCAGGGAGGAAGAUUGGGCAAUGGGCGCGAGCCGGAACCAGCCAAGGAGCGUGAAGGAUGACUGCCCUACGGGUUGUAAACUUCUUUUAUAAAGGAAUAAAGUGAGGCACGUGUGCCUUUUUGUAUGUACUGUAUGAAUAAGGAUCGGCUAACUCCGUGCCAGCAGCCGCGGUAAGACGGAGGAUCCGAGCGUUAUCCGGAUUUAUUGGGUUUAAAGGGAGCGUAGAUGGGUUGUUAAGUCAGUUGGGAAAGUUUGCGGCUCACCCGUAAAAUUGCAAGUGAUACUGGCAGUCUUGCGUCCAGUUGAGGUCGGCGUACUUCGUGGUGUAGCUGU
rnacentral:rRNA from 1 species